UGGUCAAGUUAUUAAGGGUGCAGGGCGGAUGCCUUGGCACUAGGAGCCGAUGAAGGACGUGAUAAGCUGCGAUAAGCUUCGGGGAGUUGCACGUAAACUUUGAUCCGAAGAUUUCCGAAUGAGGAAACUCACUUAGAGUAAUGUCUAAGUAUCAUUAAGUGAAUACAUAGCUUAAUGAGGGGAACUCAGGGAACUGAAACAUCUAAGUACCUGAAGGAAGAGAAAGAAAUUCGAUUCCGUAAGUAGCGGCGAGCGAACGCGGAUUAGCCCAAACCAAUAAAGUUUUCUUUAUUGGGGUUGCGGACA
rnacentral:rRNA from 1 species